GAGACCUUCGGGUCUAGUGGCGCACGGGUGCGUAACGCGUGGGAAUCUGCCCUUGGGUUCGGAAUAACUUCGGGAAACUGAAGCUAAUACCGGAUGAUGACGAAAGUCCAAAGAUUUAUCGCCCAGGGAUGAGCCCGCGUAGGAUUAGCUAGUUGGUGGGGUAAAGGCUCACCAAGGCAACGAUCCUUAGCUGGUCUGAGAGGAUGAUCAGCCACACUGGGACUGAGACACGGCCCAGACUCC
rnacentral:rRNA from 1 species